UCCGCCGGCCGCUCUGUCGCUGCGCCUUCGGGCGCGGAGGAAAGUCCGGACAACGCAGAGCGCCACACCAUCUAACGGAUGGGCUUCCGGGUCGAAGGACCAGGGAGACAGACAGUGUCACAGAAACAAUACCGCCCAUCGUCGUUGCGGCAAAAGCGGGUUCCGCCCGCCGGAGCUUCAGCGAAGGCGGGUAAGGGUGAAAUCGUGCGGUAAGAGCGCACGCGCCCCUGAAGCAAUUCAGGAGCGGGAUAAACCUUGUGGGUUGAAAUGCCAUGUACACCUUGGGUCCCGACGGGAACUGGGUUGCUCGCCCAGAUGAUAACGCUUCGGCGUUUCGGCCAAGGGGGGUAGGCAGAUAGAUCCGGCAUGCGAAUGCCGGGCAAGAUAAAUGACAGAGGCCCCGAAAGGGGAACAGAAUCCGGCUUACAAGCCGGCGGAAAGG
rnacentral:RNase_P_RNA from 2 species